rnacentral:rRNA from 1 species
UACGUAGGGUGCGAGCGUUAAUCGGAAUUACUGGGCGUAAAGCGUGCGCAGGCGGCUAUGUAAGACAGAUGUGAAAUCCCCGGGCUCAACCUGGGAUCUGCAUUUGUUACUGCAUGGCUGGAGUACGGCAGAGGGGGAUGGAAUUCCGCGUGUAGCAGUGAAAUGCGUAGAUAUGCGGAGGAACACCGAUGGCGAAGGCAAUCCCCUGGGCCUGUACUGACGCUCAUGCACGAAAGCGUGGGGAGCAAACAGGAUUAGAUACCCUGGUAGUCCACGCCCUAAACGAUGUCAACUGGUUGUUGGGUCUUAACUGACUCAGUAACGAAGCUAACGCGUGAAGUUGACCGCCUGGGGAGUACGGCCGCAAGGUUG